UGCUAUAGACUAGGGGGUGCACUUGUACAUCAAGCUGUCUGCUAUAGACUAGCAUUCUGUCCAGGGGGUGUACUUGUACAUCAAGCUGUCUGUUGUAGACUAGUAUUCUGUCCAGGAGGUGUACUUGUACAUCAAGCUGUCUGCUAUAGACUAGCAUUCUGUCCAGAGGGUGUACUUGUACAUCAAGCUGUCUGUUAUAGACUAGCAUUCUGUCCAGGGGGUGUACUUGUACAUCAAGCUGUCUGCUAUAGACUAGGGGAUGUACUUGUACAUCAAGCUGUCUGCUAUAGAUUAGCAUUCUGUCCAGGAGGUGUACUUGUACAUCAAGCUGUCUGCUAUAGACUAGCAUUCUGUCCAGGAGGUGUACUUGUACAUCAAGCUGUCUGCUAUAGACUAGCAUUCUGUCCAGGAGGUGUACUUGUACAUCAAGCUGUCUGCUAUAGACUAGCAUUCUGUCCAGGAGGUGUACUUGUACAUCAAGCUGUCUGCUAUAGACUAGCAUUCUGUCCAGGAGGUGUACUUGUACAUCAAGCUGCCUCACUACAGGAGCAGGAGGUGGGCUCCUGCCCUCUGGUCCGUUCUGGCUGUUACAAGGCUUUAGUACUCUAGGCCGAGGCCCAUAGGGUCCCUAUAUAUAUAGAUCAGUGGUUCCCAAACUGUUUCACUCAGGUCCCUCUUCCAGCAUUGGGGAACAUCCAUUUCUAUGGGCACAAGCACUGUUCAUGACCCAAACGGUUCACACCCCUAAAAUGUUGCAGAUUUUAAAGCUUAUUUCCUUGCAAUUCUAUACAUUUUGUCAUGUCUAAUGUGUUUUCUUGUGAUAUUUGAGUGACAAAAAAAUGAAUGUCUAUGGGCUAAAAAAAACAACCGUUAGCUGACGUGGGCUGGACAUUUCUGACAAGUUAUAUCUAAGUAAUGUAAUGACUGACAUGACGAAGAGGAACUGAUGAUGCAAUAACCUGUUUCCACACGUCGCCUUGUGUGUUCUACUAUUACAACUUUCAAGAGUCAGUUGAAAGCUGGACUGAGUUCCCCCUAGGGGGCCGCGCCCCACAGUUUGGGAACCGCUGAUAUAUGGAAUAGGAUACCAUCAGUAGUGUGUCCAUCCUCACUGGUUCAUCAGUACUGUGUCCAUCCUCACUUGUCCAACCUACUUUAGUCCCUGUCUUGUCUCAGGUGCCUGUUUGAGACAGACUUGGGUGUCUGUGCACUAGACAGGAAAUAGGGUGUCAUUUGGGAUAUUUGCUUUGGGACAAACUCGUUUAAAAAAUAUAUAUAUAUAUAUAUAUAUAUAGACGAACCGAAAAGACUUGGGUCGUCUUCACUUGGGAUGGACUACCUGAACAAUAUAAAUGUUUUCGUUUGCUAGACGUUUUUGCUACAGUGUGCACUAAUGAAUACAACCCUGAUGACGGACAGACUCUGCUGUAUUGUAUUGUUAUUUUUUUUACAAGAGGAAUGGUUGGUUGUAUGAUGAUGCAUUCUGAAUUUGAGCAUUUUAUUGUUAUGUUUAUUACUAUGGGGGCCAUUUUGAGACUAAACUUGAGGGACUGAAGUCCAGCUCUUGGAAACAGUGUUGGACUAGAAGGUGUCUGGCUCAGGGUAGAAACAUCACUUUGCCCUCCCCCCCCAUCCUAAACUAAAUGUGUAUUGCUGUCAGACCUCUGUUUAAAUACUAUUUGGAGUCUUUAACGUUUGCUCUAGCCUGCCUGGAGUGCUAGAUGGGAGGGGAGUUGCAGUUUUGGGACUAGUCUUUUAGGUCCAUUUAAGCCAGGCAAGCUCAAUCAAGCACUGAUCAAGUAUUUAAACUCAGGUCUGGUUAGCACUCAAGUCAGUCACAGGAUCCAAUGGUGCUACUAGACAGAUGAUUCAGGCCCUCAGCGAGCACAGAUCUCAGUCAUCUGUUACCUUUUUGAGGUUGUCAGGUCAUUAGGUCAAGGUUAAGUUACACUGCAUGACCACAUUCAUCAUCAAGCUGAAACCGUGCAGCACCCGCAUCCACUCACUGCUUUUGACCAGUGUCCCGAAUGGCUCCCUAUAUAGUAUACUACUUUUGACCAGGGUCCACAGGGUAGUGCACUACUUAUAGGGAAUAAGGUGCCAUUUGGGACGUACUCUUACUAUGUCGGAGUAAUUUGGGCACGGUCAGUGUUGACGUCUUUAGAAAGGUGACAUGUUGACCUGCUGGACAUCAACUGUAGUAAGUAUUACAGUGGAGAGUUAAAUGUUGUUGGGUUUCCUGGCCAAAGGGAGUUGGAUCUGCUGGACAUCAACAUUACAGUGGAGAGUUAAAUGUUGUUGAGUUUCCUGGCCAAAGGGAGUUGGAUCUGCUGGACAUCAACAUUACAGUGGAGAGUUAAAUGUUGUUGGGUUUCCUGGCCAAAGGGAGUUGGAUCUGCUGGACAUCAACAUUACAGUGGAGAGUUAAAUGUUGUUGGGUUUCCUGGCCAAAGGGAGUUGGAUCUGCUGGACAUCAACAUUACAGUGGAGAGUUAAAUGUUGUUGGGUUUCCUGGCCAAAGGGAGUUGGAUCUGCUGG
rnacentral:lncRNA from 13 species